CAGUCGCCGCGGUAAUACAGAGGGUGCGAGCGUUAAUCGGAUUUACUGGGCGUAAAGCGUGCGUAGGCGGCUUCUUAAGUCGGAUGUGAAAUCCCUGAGCUCAACUUAGGAAUUGCAUUCGAUACUGGGAAGCUAGAGUAUGGGAGAGGAUGGUAGAAUUCCAGGUGUAGCGGUGAAAUGCGUAGAGAUCUGGAGGAAUACCGAUGGCGAAGGCAGCCAUCUGGCCUAAUACUGACGCUGAGGUACGAAAGCAUGGGGAGCAAACAGGAUUAGAGACCCGCGUAGUCCCUGUCUCUUAUAC
rnacentral:rRNA from 1 species